CCUACGGGAGGCAGCAGUGGGGAAUAUUGCACAAUGGGGGAAACCCUGAUGCAGCGACGCCGCGUGAGUGAAGAAGUAUUUCGGUAUGUAAAGCUCUAUCAGCAGGGAAGAAAAUGACGGUACCUGAUUAAGAAGCCCCGGCUAACUACGUGCCAGCAGCCGCGGUAAUACGUAGGGGGCAAGCGUUAUCCGGAUUUACUGGGUGUAAAGGGGGCGUAGACGGCAGCACAAGUCUGGAGUGAAAUGCCGGGGCUUAACCCCGGAACUGCUUUGGAAACUGUGCAGCUAGAGUGCAGGAGGGGUAAGUGGAAUUCCUGGUGUAGCGGUGAAAUGCGUAGAUAUUAGGAGGAACACCAGUGGCGAAGGCGGCUUACUGGACUGUAACUGACGUUGAGGCUCGAAAGCGUGGGGAGCAAACAGGAUUAGAUACCCGUGUAGUC
rnacentral:rRNA from 1 species